rnacentral:rRNA from 1 species
UACGGAGGAUGCGAGCGUUAUCCGGAUUCAUUGGGUUUAAAGGGUGCGUAGGCGGCUUCUUAAGUCAGUGGUGAAAUCCUGCGGCUCAACCGUAGAACUGCCAUUGAUACUGAUAAGCUUGAAUAUAGUUGAGGUAGGCGGAAUGAGUAGUGUAGCGGUGAAAUGCUUAGAUAUUACUCAGAACACCGAUUGCGAAGGCAGCUUACCAAGUUAUAAUUGACGCUGAGGCACGAAAGCGUGGGGAUCAAACAGGAUUAGAUACCCUGGUAGUCCACGCCGUAAACGAUGUUCACUCGCUGUUUGCGAUAUACAGUAAGCGGCCAAGCGAAAGCAUUAAGUGAACCACCUGGGGAGUACGUCGGCAACGGUGAA